CUCCAUAGUGUCCUCCAUAUGGCGAGGCAUGGCAUCUUUCCAUAAUUUGAGUAGCCUCAGCCAUAGGAGCACACCUUCUCAAGAGUCCAUCAGCGCAGACUCGAAAAAGAUAUGGCUCAUCCCAAAGAUGGAAACGACUAUCGUGAAGUAACUUCCUUUUGUUUGCACCAGGUGGGACAUAGCCUUUUACUAUAAAGUUUACGAUGUCUGCGUACCAUGGAUCUGCAUGUGUUAUCUUAAGUAGGGUGUC
rnacentral:lncRNA from 1 species